rnacentral:rRNA from 1 species
GACGAACGCUGGCGGCGUGCUUAACACAUGCAAGUCGAGCGGAGCGGCGAACGGGUGAGUAACGCGUGAGUAACUGCCCCCCUCUCUGGGAUAACAAUUGGAAACGGCUGCUAAUACCGGAUAGUGGGGGAUGACGCGCUGCCUAUCAGCUUGUUGGCGGGGUAGUGGCCUCCCAAGGCGACGACGGGUAGCCGGCCUGAGAGGGCGACCGGCCACAUUGGGCUGAGAUACGGCCAGAACUCCUACGGGAGGCAGCAGGGGGGAAUAGUGCACAAUGGGGGAAACGCGGAUGAAGCAACGCCGCGUGCGGGAGGACGGCCGUCGGGUUGUAAACAGCUUUCAGCCAGGACGCGGUAGUGGCAGAAGAAGCACCGGCUAACUACGUGCCAGCAGCCGCGGUAAUUC